rnacentral:tRNA from 1 species
UCCUCGUUAGUAUAGUGGUGAGUAUCCCCGCCUGUCACGCGGGAGACCGGAGGUUCGAUUCCCCGACGGGGGA